GGGGGGAUGUGCUAGCCUGGUAUGCUUCGGGGUUUGGGACCCCGCGACCCGAGUUCAAAUCUCGGUCCCCCCA
rnacentral:tRNA from 1 species